AUUGAACGCUGGCGGCAGGCCUAACACAUGCAAGUCGAGCGGAUGAAGGGAGCUUGCUCCUGGAUUCAGCGGCGGACGGGUGAGUAAUGCCUAGGAAUCUGCCUGGUAGUGGGGGAUAACGUCCGGAAACGGGCGCUAAUACCGCAUACGUCCUGAGGGAGAAAGUGGGGGAUCUUCGGACCUCACGCUAUCAGAUGAGCCUAGGUCGGAUUAGCUAGUUGGUGGGGUAAAGGCCUACCAAGGCGACGAUCCGUAACUGGUCUGAGAGGAUGAUCAGUCACACUGGAACUGAGACACGGUCCAGACUCCUACGGGAGGCAGCAGUGGGGAAUAUUGGACAAUGGGCGAAAGCCUGAUCCAGCCAUGCCGCGUGUGUGAAGAAGGUCUUCGGAUUGUAAAGCUCUUUAAGUUGGGAGGAAGGACAGUAAGUUAAUACCUUGCUGUUUUGACGUUACCAACAGAAUAAGCACCGGCUAACUUCGUG
rnacentral:rRNA from 1 species